rnacentral:lncRNA from 1 species
GCAUUUGAGCUAAAGCAAGGGAAGCAUUUCCCCUUCCCCUGGCUGAAAGCUCAGCUGACCCCGAGGCUCUUCUGGUCAUGCUUAGGAACACACCCUCUGUCGUUGUUGCCCAAGGUGAUGUCAUGUUCAUUCUAAAGGCCGCGGUUCCAAGGGGACUACACCACAAGAAGAUGCCUUCAGAAAGACCCAGAUUUCCUGCGGUCUCAGGUAGGCGGCAGGGAGCAAGAGAACAAGGAAAGGACCCGCCACCACUCUCCCCAAGAUGGAUGCUGCAUGAUAUCAACGAGGCAGGCAAAGGAAGCAGUGUAACUUUUUCCCAUUUUACGGAUGAAGAAACCGAAAUUCAAGAGAUUUGCUCAAGUUUACACAGCUGUUUAGGGUCAGCCAAGUCCAAGUUAAACAACAUAAUGUAAAUAUGUACCCAAAUGCUAAGCGCCCUCCCUUCCUCCCUCUCUCCUGAGUUUCGGGUUGAACUACUCAGCUCACGCAAGCCAAAAUAUUUGAAGAUCCUGGCCCAUCCAUCCCAACCAGGCACAGCAGUGACAGCU